AUUGAACGCUGGCGGCAGGCCUAACACAUGCAAGUCGAGCGGAGAGAGGUAGCUUGCUACUGAUCUUAGCGGCGGACGGGUGAGUAAUGCUUAGGAAUCUGCCUAUUAGUGGGGGACAACAUUUCGAAAGGAAUGCUAAUACCGCAUACGUCCUACGGGAGAAAGCAGGGGAUCUUCGGACCUUGCGCUAAUAGAUGAGCCUAAGUCGGAUUAGCUAGUUGGUGGGGUAAAGGCCUACCAAGGCGACGAUCUGUAGCGGGUCUGAGAGGAUGAUCCGCCACACUGGGACUGAGACACGGCCCAGACUCCUACGGGAGGCAGCAGUGGGGAAUAUUGGACAAUGGGCGCAAGCCUGAUCCAGCCAUGCCGCGUGUGUGAAGAAGGCCUUAUGGUUGUAAAGCACUUUAAGCGAGGAGGAGGCUACUUUAGAUAAUACCUAGAGAUAGUGGACGUUACUCGCAGAAUAAGCACCGGCUAACUCUGUGCCAGCAGCCGCGGUAACAC
rnacentral:rRNA from 1 species